UGGCCCCCUUGGCCACCUGGGCACACUGCUGGCUCAUAUUCAGCCGGCUGUCGACCAGCACCCCCAGGUCCUUUUCCUGUAUGUAAGCUUCAUCCCUAGAUACAUAGCUGCUUUGGGGAGAGGGAGCCUGACAAAUGCAGUCUUUUUAAGUGUUUCCUUUUCUGAUUCUACAGCUGUGAGUCAUACUAAGAAGCUCAAUUAGAAAUAAAAAAAAAAUCUUGCUGCAUACUUUGCAACUGCCAGUAGUCUGAGAGUGAAGCUAUUUAACUUAAUCACAACAGGCCUGAGUAUUUUAAUUAUGAGUGGUCAGCAGCUGAAUAUAAAGCAUGGAAAGCAGCAGUAGGGCAAACUCUAAAUGCUUUAAGCUUAAAUGGUAGAAUUAUUUAGAAUCUCUUUUCCCCUGACUGAGAGUGUCAACCUUUUUAAAAAUUGAACUGAAACUGGAAUUUUGGGAGAUCUGGGAGUAAGACACGGAAGAUUACUGAAUCAGAGAUUCAGUGAUGAGUCCUGGGGCGAUAAAAGGGAGUAAUGUUUUCAUUCUUUGUCCAUGUCAUGAUUAAUAGUAGAGAAUAUAUAAUCAAGUAAACUUCAGAAAUUCCUGAGAAAGAGUUAAAAAAAGGAAUUGUUCUGAACAUCUUUGUUAGAUCCAUGAAGUUCUACUCUAUUUUUAAGUAUCACUUUUAUUGAGAAUGCUAAUAUGUUUUAAAUAACCCCUGGAAGUCCUCAGUUAAUUUGUCACUAAGAGUGGUCCUGGUUUCCAUUUUGGGUGAGGCAGUUUGCCAUUCUGACACCUAUAAUAGAGCCAGACAUGAGGUGUUAUUCUAAAAUUAUUCAUCUCUCUUGAACGAAGAUAGUGCUAAACUUGUUAAGGGGGCAGUUUGGAAUUUCUUGACUAUAGUAUUACAAGAAAACCACUUCCCUUGUUUUUUACUGUCAGUCUAUUCUUUACCAUCUUACAUGUUAGAGGUCCUUUGGAACAUCAAACUAUUUCUCACCUGAUUCUAUCUGACAAAGUUGAAACAUCACUGCCCUGCCAUCAUCUAGGAUCCAAACUGCAUCACAGCAGAAGUUGAGUUUAUAGAAUAAGAAAUCCUUCAAAACCUUACAGAUGCCUCAAUCAUAUCCUAAUGAAGAGAGUCUCUGGUUUUCAUCUUUAUCAUCAAAACGUCAAACAUGCUCCUCUUCAGUCACUCUGUAACUGUGAUAGCCAAGGGAUGGUGUCUUUUUAACCAAAAAUAGCAAACAGAUUGGUUUUGAUACAUCAUUGGAGCUGGAAUAAUUCAUCAAAGAGUGAACCUGUUGGCCUCAAACAUUUGCCCAGACCUGUGUUAUAAGCAAUGUCAGAACAACUGAUUGAACCUGAAGUGUUCCAUUCUGUCAAGCAGUGAUUCCAAAUAUAGUAUGACUGUAUUUUCUUGAGAUGACUGGCCUUCUCAUUUCUCUUCCUCAGGACAACCAAAAGGUCAAAUUCUCCUAGAGAAGUUGUUCAGCAACCUGCAAAAUUACAAGAAAGGUAGUCUCAGAUGUGGGAUGGUCUCAAGGAAUAUAAGCUUCCCAUCACUGGAUUCCAAAACUGGUAUUUUAAGUUGUGAGUCCUAGGAAACCUGUCUUUACACUUGGAGCAGAACGUCAAUAUUUCUAUCUCAUGGAAUUUAAUCUGAACUCAAGGAAGAAUUUGGCCCAGUGGAUUUCUAAUAUUCUUUUCUGAGAUGAGCAAUUUGGAGACAGUAUUUUUGUCACUUCUGGAAUAGCAUAUGUUCUAACCCACAAAAGAACAAAAACUGCUUUUCUAAUUUUGAAGGAGGGGGUGGAAGCAUGGAGAUGAUAUCCAGAGCAGGAUAUCACAGUUCUGCUGGUGGGUCCUGGCGUACCAGAGCAAAACCCAGGACCAAAGGUAGUGAUUUCUCUCUUGAGCUGUUGGUCAGAAAGGCAAACCCAAGUGAACUUUCAAGAACGAUCUUAAAAUCAGCAAUGUUACCAUGAAGGUACAACAGACGCACUGUGACUGGAUAUUUGCUUAUAACGGAUGCAGAACAUAAGAAAACUCUACAACAGCAGGCUGAAAUGCAGAGUUGAGUUGAUUGGCAAGCACACUGAGAGAAGAAAUCACAGGCUGUUCUUCAGGAAAAGAACAAUUAAUGCUUCCAUAUACUGACAUGAGUGUACUCUUUGCUUGUCCAUUCUGACCUAGGAAACUUAAGGUACUGUAUUCUAAGCAGUUAAUAAAUACUGUCUUUCCUGAAAA